GAAGAAGGCCUUCGGGUUGUAAAGCACUUUCAGUCGUGAGGAAGGCGGCGUCGUUAAUAGCGGCGUUGUUUGACGUUAGCGACAGAAGAAGCACCGGCUAACUCCGUGCCAGCAGCCGCGGUAAUACGGAGGGUGCGAGCGUUAAUCGGAAUUACUGGGCGUAAAGCGCAUGCAGGUGGUUUGUUAAGUCAGAUGUGAAAGCCCGGGGCUCAACCUCGGAAUUGCAUUUGAAACUGGCAGACUAGAGUACUGUAGAGGGGGGUAGAAUUUCAGGUGUAGCGGUGAAAUGCGUAGAGAUCUGAAGGAAUACCGGUGGCGAAGGCGGCCCCCUGGACAGAUACUGACACUCAGAUGCGAAAGCGUGGGGAGCAAACAGGAUUAGAUACCCUGGUAGUCCACGCCGUAAACGAUGUCUACUUGGAGGUUGUGGCCUUGAGCCGUGGCUUUCGGAGCUAACGCGUUAAGUAGACCGCCUGGGGAGUACGGUCGCAAGAUUAAAACUCAAAUGAAUUGACGGGGGCCCGCACAAGCGGUGGAGCAUGUGGUUUAAUUCGAUGCAACGCGAAGAACCUUACCUACUCUUGACAUCCAGAGAACUUUCCAGAGAUGGAUUGGUGCCUUCGGGAACUCUGAGACAGGUGCUGCAUGGCUGUCGUCAGCUCGUGUUGUGAAAUGUUGGGUUAAGUCCCGCAACGAGCGCAACCCUUAUCCUUGUUUGCCAGCGAGUAAUGUCGGGAACUCCAGGGAG
rnacentral:rRNA from 1 species